rnacentral:ncRNA from 2 species
CGGCGUUCUCAGGGCGGGGUGAAACUCCCCACCGGCGGUAUCCGUGCCUCGGCGCGGGAGCCCGCGAGCGCCCGCUGUGCCCCGCGUGGGUUCGGCGGGGUCAGCAGACCUGGUGCGAAGCCAGGGCCGACGGUCACAGUCCGGAUGAAAGAGAUCGCGU